GAUGAACGCUAGCGGCAGGCUUAAUACAUGCAAGUCGAGGGGCAGCAGGACUGUAGCAAUACAGUUGAUGGCGACCGGCAAACGGGUGCGGAACACGUACGCAAUCUACCCAUAACUGAUGAAUAGCCCUCCGAAAGGAGGAUUAAUACAGCGUAACAUUUGAGAGUGGCAUCACUUUAUUAUUAUAGCUCCGGCGGUUUUGGAUGAGCGUGCGGCUGAUUAGGUAGUUGGCGGGGUAACGGCCCACCAAGCCUGCGAUCAGUAACUGGUGUGAGAGCACGACCAGUCACACGGGCACUGAGACACGGGCCCGACUCCUACGGGAGGCAGCAGUAAGGAAUAUUGGUCAAUGGACGCAAGUCUGAACCAGCCAUGCCGCGUGAAGGAUGAAGGCCCUCUGGGUUGUAAACUUCUUUUAUCUGGGACGAAACCUCUUAUUCUUAAGAGACUGACGGUACCAGAGGAAUAAGCACCGGCUAACUCCGUGCCAGCCGCCGCCGUAAGAC
rnacentral:rRNA from 1 species